AUGAAUUUAGGGUGGCUGCUUCAACCAGCGCCCAAACCUUCAUUUCCAACCCUGUGCACUAUUGUUUUCGCGUGUUUUCGAGUCUUUCCGACUCUCACGCUUCAUUUUAAAACACUUGUAUCAGAAUGUAUAAAACAAAAUAACAAAAGAA
rnacentral:misc_RNA from 1 species